UACGUAGGGUGCAAGCGUUAAUCGGAAUUACUGGGCGUAAAGCGUGCGCAGGCGGUUAUGUAAGACAGGUGUGAAAUCCCCGGGCUUAACCUGGGAACUGCAUUUGUGACUGCAUAGCUAGAGUACGGUAGAGGGGGAUGGAAUUCCGCGUGUAGCAGUGAAAUGCGUAGAUAUGCGGAGGAACACCGAUGGCGAAGGCAAUCCCCUGGACCUGUACUGACGCUGAGGCGCGAAAGCGUGGGUAGCAAACGGG
rnacentral:rRNA from 1 species